rnacentral:rRNA from 1 species
CUGGAGAGUGGCGCACGGGUGAGUAACGCGUGGGGACCUACCUCUUAGUGGGGGAUAACGGUUGGAAACGACCGCUAAUACCGCAUACGCCCUUCGGGGGAAAGAUUUAUCGCUAAGAGAUGGACCCGCGUUGGAUUAGAUAGUUGGUGAGGUAACGGCUCACCAAGUCAGCGAUCCAUAGCUGGUUUGAGAGGAUGAUCAGCCACACUGGGACUGAGACACGGCCCAGACUCCUACGGGAGGCAGCAGUGGGGAAUAUUGGACAAUGGGCGGAAGCCUGAUCCAGCCAUGCCGCGUGAGUGAAGAAGGCCUUCGGGUUGUAAAGCUCUUUCAGAUGCGAAGAUGAUGACGGUAACAUCAGAAGAAGCCCCGGCUAAUUUCGUGCCAGCAGCCGCGGUAAUACGAAAGGGGCAAGCGUUGUUCGGAUUUACUGGGCGUAAAGGGCACGCAGGCGGUCUUGCCAGUCAGGGGUGAAAGCCCGGGGCUCAACCCCGGAACUGCCUCUGAUACUGCAGGACUAGAGACUAGGAGAGGGUGGUGGAAUUCCCAGUGUAGAGGUGAAAUUCGUAGAUAUUGGGAGGAACACCAGAGGCGAAGGCGGCCACCUGGACUAGAUCUGACGCUC